rnacentral:rRNA from 1 species
AAGUUUGAUCCUGGCUUAGGGUGAACGCUGGUAGUAUGCUUAACACAUGCAAGUUGAACAAUUCAUUUAAGAGUUGUAGCGUACGGGUGAGUAAUAAACAGGAAUCUGCUUUCUAGUUAAGUUAAAUACUUAAUAAUUCUUAAAUUCUAAAUAUUAAAUAAUAAUACUUUAAAUUUAAGAAGAAAGAUAAAUAAUCGCUAGAAAAGGAGCCUGUUUAAGAUUAGGUAGUUGGUGAGACAAAAGCUUACCAAGCCGACAAUCUUUAGUUGGUUUGAAAGAACGAUCAGCCACACUGGGACUGAAACAAGGCCCAGGCUCAAUUUGAGCCAGCAGUGAGGAAUUUUGGACAAUGAGCGAAAGCUUGAUCCAGCAAUACUACGUGUAGGAAGAAGGCUCACUGGUCGUAAACUACUUUCGUUGAGGAGGAUAAAGACAGUACUCAAAGAAGAAGCCCUGGCUAACUUCGUGCCAGCAGCCGCGGUAAUACGAAGAGGGCAAGCGUUAUCCGGAUUGAUUGGGCGUAAAGGGUUCGUAGGUGGCCUUAAACCGUUAAAAGUAAAAGAUUAAAGCUUAACUUUAAUAAUGCUUUUAAAACAAAAAAAACGUUAAGGCUUGGAGUUUGACAGAGGAUAAUAGAAUUUUGAAUGAAGAGGUGAAAUUCCGGAAUAUUCUUGGGAAUACCAAUGGCGAAGGCAAUUAUCUGGGUCAAUACUGACAUUGAGGAACGAAAGCAUCGGUAGCGAAAAGGAUUUGAUACCCUAUUAGUCGGUGCUGUAAACGAUGAGUGCUCAUGAUUAGAUGUUUAAUUUGGUCAUUUAGCUAACGCUUUAAGCACUCCGCCUGAGGAGUACGAUCGGUAAGGUUGGAACUCAAAGGAAUUGGCGGGGGUUCAUACAAGUGGUGGAACAUGUGGUUUAAUGCGAUAAUCCGCGCGAAAUCUUACCAGUUCUUGACGUAAAAAAUAAUAUUAAUUAUUAUUUUUUAUCAGGUGUUGCAUGGCUGUCGUCAGCUCGUGUUGUGAAAUGUUUGGUUCAGUCCUUUUAACGAGCGCAACCCUUGUACUUAAUUUUUAUUAGUACUUUAAGUAAACUGCUUAUCUUUAUAAAGAGGAAGGCAAGGAUGACGUCAAGUCCUUAUGGCCCUUAUGAACUGGGCUACACACGUGUUACAAUGGUAGAAACAAUAAGUAGCAAAAUUGUAAAAUUAAGCCAAUCUUUAACUUUUACCUUAGUUCGAAUUGUGGACUGCAACUCGUCCACAUGAAGUUGGAAUCACUAGUAAUCGCAAAUCAUCACGUUGCGGUGAACACGUACCUGAACCUUGCACACACCGCCCGUCACAUGCCGGAAGUAAAUUUUACUCGAAAAAUGGUUAAUUGUAAAUUAAACAUCGGUUUAAAGUAAAGAUAGAUUUAUUUUUAAAGUUGAAUAAUUUAUAAUCCAGACUAGAGAAAUUUUUGUAACUGGGAUGAAGUCGUAACAAGGUAGUCGUACGGGAACGUGCGUCUGGAAUCACAAGA